AGCAAUCUUAUUUUAAUUGGAUGAAAAAGUGUCAGUCAGCAAAUUUUCAGUUUAGUCGAAAUCCUCGUGUGACUAGAAAUUUGAUGUCGUUUCGCGCUGUUACAAGUACAUGAUGGUAACUCUUUGAGAGCGACUGGAUUAUUCCAUCACAAGAAAAUGCAGAAUGGUAAUACUGACGCGACCUGAUAGCACUUUAAUUAUGGGAAAUUGAUGGAUCUAUGGAAACAAAUUUAAAACCAGACGUGUAACGUCAAAAAAAUGGCUAAUUCCGAUGCGGCACAUCGAGAAGGAAAUGUAGCUUCUAACAAGGUCAUUCUAACCUUAAAAGUAUUCCUUAAACCGCAAAUUACGAUGAGUGAAGGACGAUUCAGACGAUACAUAAGCUUUCGUCAACGUCAACGGAACGUCAUCGUUCCGUCAGGAUAAGUAUAUUGCUUUUCUCUUGUGCCCGUUCAUACCGUCAAAACGUUCCGUGCCGUUGAUGUUGUUUGUGAAUGCUUUUAUUUAACUGCAUGUAACUAAUCUUGACGUUCCGUACCGGUGACGGGAGCGUGAUGUAUCGUGUGAAUCGUACUUUAGGCAUCGAAAAGAUUACUGCCAAUAACAGAUAGCGGUUACAUUGUCUGAGCUGAAGACUUAAGGAGAUAAAACAGUAAAACUAGCCCUACUUGCAGGUCAGAAUGUUCUGCUCGAAGCUCGAUCCGCACUAGUCAGACGCAAUACGGCACGACUCGGCCUUUUGAUGCUUGCAGAUAGCGAAAAUAUUGAAGAAGAUGGUUGUUGGCGACAUUUCGAUGAACGAUAAACACUACACAAUUAUGCAUCAUCAAAUCAAAUUCAAACAUCACAAAGUUGUGUCGCAUAAAAUCGCUUUUGUCGAUUAUAGAUCGACCUUAACACCACGUUUUAGAUCAUUGCAUCAAUAUAAUGAUAGCAGCGUAGAUAGGGGGUUAUUAUACUUAAAACAUGUUUAAACUACGUGCCCAACUCCAACCGUAUUUUACAAGAUUACAGUAUAAUCCAAAUUGAAUUUACUUCCACAUGUAA